rnacentral:lncRNA from 1 species
AUGAGACUGCCCAUUGGGCCAUUUGGAAGACGUUCUGAACUCUGAGGAGCUUUUUGCUCAAAAUAUUGAAACAAACUCACAGGAGAUCAUGCCAUUGGGUCUACUAAUGCUUCUUCCGAUGGGACCAAACAGGGUUUUCUAUACUAAAAAGAGUGAGUUUUCAUCUGAGGAGACUUUGGAAUUUUAGUGCAGAACUCUCUUGCCAUGUUUAGAGACUGAUAAAAUUAAUAUACUGAACCUAAUAGGACUUCCUACACUGUCCUUACACUUUGUAACUUUAUGAUAGUUUGGUAUUUUUGUUAUCUCUUUCCCACACUUGAAGCACGUUUUAUUUAUUCAUUCACAUAUUUC